GCCUCCCGCCCCGUGCCCGGCCGUGGCAGAGCCCUUGUCCGCCCAGCGCCUAUCGCGGAGUCAAAGCUGUACUUCCUCAUCGCCCGGUACCUAUCGGCGGGCCCGUGUCAGAGAGCGGCCCAGGUACUGGUGCAGGAGCUGGAGCAGUGGCAGUUGUUGCCGAAGGGGUUGGACUGGGAGGGCAACGAGCACAACAGGAGCUACGAGGAAUUGGUCUUGUCCAGUAAACAUGUGGCUCCUGAUCGUCUAUUGCAAAUCUGCCAGCGCAUCGGUCCUAUGUUGUAUGAAGAUUCCACCCAGUAUUUCAAGAGUCGCUUCUUUCUUUGGUGCAGGAAGGCAGUCUUUGCUACUUACAGCAAAAGGUAACUUAA
rnacentral:lncRNA from 10 species